AUGAAGUUCAAAAAACAGGGACCAAAGCACCUUGAAGAUUUGCACAUCAUAUUUGACAAAGUACAUGUUACUGGGGCUAGUGCUUCUUGUGCUGGAGAUAUAUCUUCUGAUGAAUCAAGUGAUGAUAAUGCGGUUCCUUUCAAGAAACCCGAUGAUAGUGCUGAAAUGAAGUUGGCAUCUUCGAAGAAACCAAAACCAAGCAAGAAGCGCAAUCAACCUUCUAACGCAAAUGAGGAGAAGGAAGAGAAGAGUCCAUUCUUAUGA
rnacentral:rRNA from 1 species